AGUGAACGCUGGCGGUAGGCCUAACACAUGCAAGUCGAACGGCAGCACAGUAAGAGCUUGCUCUUACGGGUGGCGAGUGGCGGACGGGUGAGGAAUACAUCGGAAUCUACUUUUUCGUGGGGGAUAACGUAGGGAAACUUACGCUAAUACCGCAUACGACCUACGGGUGAAAGCAGGGGAUCUUCGGACCUUGCGCGAUUGAAUGAGCCGAUGUCGGAGUAGCUAGUUGGCGGGGUAAAGGCCCACCAAGGCGACGAUCCGUAGCUGGUCUGAGAGGAUGAUCAGCCACACUGGAACUGAGACACGGUCCAGACUCCUACGGGAGGCAGCAGUGGGGAAUAUUGGACAAUGGGCGCAAGCCUGAUCCAGCCAUACCGCGUGGGUGAAGAAGGCCUUCGGGUUGUAAAGCCCUUUUGUUGGGAAAGAAAAGCAGCAGGUUAAUACCCCGCUGUUCGGACGGUACCCAAAGAAUAAGCACCGGCUAACUUCGU
rnacentral:rRNA from 1 species